rnacentral:rRNA from 1 species
GAUGAACGCUGGCGGCGUGCUUAACACGUGCAAGUCGAACGGUGAACGAGGGAGCUUGCUCCCUCCGGAUCAGUGGCGAACGGGUGAGUAACACGUGAGCAAUCUGCCCUGGACUCUGGGAUAAGCGUUGGAAACGACGUCUAAUACCGGAUACGAGGCGUGGGGGCAUCCCCAACGCCUGGAAAGAACUUCGGUCCAGGAUGAGCUCGCGGCCUAUCAGCGAGUUGGUGAGGUAACGGCUCACCAAGGCGACGACGGGUAGUCGGCCUGAGGUGGUGAGCGGCCACACUGGCACUGAGACACGGCCCAGACUCCUACGGGAGGCAGCAGUGGGGAAUAUUGCACAAUGGGCGCAAGCCUGAUGCAGCAACGCCGCGUGAGGGACGACGGCCUUCGGGUUGUAAACCUCUUUUAGCAGGGAAGAAGCGAAAGUGACGGUACCUGCAGAAAAAGCACCGGCUAACUACGUGCCAGCCGCCGCGGUAAAAC